UAGGGAAUCUUCGGCAAUGGACGGAAGUCUGACCGAGCAACGCCGCGUGAGUGAAGAAGGUUUUCGGAUCGUAAAGCUCUGUUGUAAGAGAAGAACGAGUGUGAGAGUGGAAAGUUCACACUGUGACGGUAUCUUACCAGAAAGGGACGGCUAACUACGUGCCAGCAGCCGCGGUAAUACGUAGGUCCCGAGCGUUGUCCGGAUUUAUUGGGCGUAAAGCGAGCGCAGGCGGUUAGAUAAGUCUGAAGUUAAAGGCUGUGGCUUAACCAUAGUAGGCUUUGGAAACUGUUUAACUUGAGUGCAAGAGGGGAGAGUGGAAUUCCAUGUGUAGCGGUGAAAUGCGUAGAUAUAUGGAGGAACACCGGUGGCGAAAGCGGCUCUCUGGCUUGUAACUGACGCUGAGGCUCGAAAGCGUGGGGAGCAAACAGGAUUAGAUACCCUGGUAGUCCACGCCGUAAACGAUGAGUGCUAGGUGUUAGACCCUUUCCGGGGUUUAGUGCCGUAGCUAACGCAUUAAGCACUCCGCCUGGGGAGUACGACCGCAAGGUU
rnacentral:rRNA from 1 species